AUUGUCCGCUUUGGCCCAAAGGCCUCACGGAUUUGCCCUUCCCAAGAGGCGCCUUUUGGGAAGGGCAAAUCCGUGAGGCCUUUGGGCAAAAGCGGACAA
rnacentral:pre_miRNA from 1 species